AAUACAUGUGCUGUUGUAAGUCACGCUCGCCGACGGUAUAAUUGUGGACUUUUUUCAAUUUUUCAUUCGGUAUGUUGUGAAAAUGCAAGAUGUUAAUAGUGCACAAAUGGAAAUAUAAAUACUGAAUAAGUGGAAGGUGUUUUUACUCAAAAAACGGUGGCAAAUUAGUGAGAGGAAACGGGUAAAGGAUAUUGCAAUAUGUUAUGGAAUGUGUUCUGACAAAGUGACGCAUAAAGAUUUGAGCUCCAGUUUAGCCCUAGUUGCUGAAGAUUUGUAGAAAAUACUUAUAUAUUCAAAAGAGAACAAAUUUAUUUGGGAAUCUGAGCCUCUUGAAAGUCAAACAUGCGCAGGAAAAUUUUCAUCGUUAAAUGCUGUGUGCAGCUAACAUAAGACAAAAUAGCUUUCCUCAUGCGAAAUUUGGAAACACAAAUAUCUGAUAUGGAGGUGAUUAUUAGUAUCCAUGGAUCCCUUCACAAGGAAAUCCAUAAGCAUAUAUCGACAUACCAACGAGACUGACCAGCUUUGCGUAAGUUGGAAAUAUAGAGGAUCACUACUAAAAGUAGGCUCACAUACAGUAUGUCAAACACGCUCUGAGAGUGGAACAUGUCGGAUUGCGUCCGCAAAUUGUAUUACCAGCGGUACUGUGAAAACACCACAACCGUAAAUACUAUGGAAUGGCUCAGUCUUGGUGCUAGGUGUAGUUAGGUAUUCUUGGAGUAAUAUUAAUAGCUUUUGCUUAGUUAAUUUUAUUAUUGUGCAAAAUUUUACAAAACUACAUGUAAGUAUUUUUCUUUAA